GGCGCAUCUGGCGCAUCAUUUUUUAUCUAAAUCAUACAUGUUCAUGGUAUGGACAAAUGCAAGAAGAUUGAACAAAAUACUAAAGCGCAACAAAAGAAUAAAAGACUUCCAACUUCCGCCCACAAAGAUGUUUAAGGAAAAACCUAAAGUUGGAGCUUGAUACAUUUUUUUCUCAUGGAAAGUUUUGUAAAACAAAUGGCAAACUGGUUAAAUGAAACUUGAUUCCUUUUUUUUAAUUCGUUAAUUAAUUUUUGUGUGUGUGUUUUUUGUUCUGUUAUGGUGGAACGGUGGAGAGAAAAGAUGUUCGCGAAUAUGGGCAAUUCGAGAUCCAAGUAGAAACGGAGUGCAUAUUGUUUAAAGGCUUAUAGACUGGUAUUACUGACCAAUGUUGACAGCGUAGACAAGGUUACAGAAAGGUUGCAUUGAUCUUAAUGGCUGGUGUACAAUUACAGGACGAAAAAUGUCAUCAGCUGACGGAACAGCUGACAUGCCCAUAAAAAUUCUACGGAGUUAGUUAUUUCUCCCCUAGAUGUCUUGAAAAUAUACGGGAAAUGUCAGCUGUCCCGUCAGCUGUUCCAUUUCGCGUGGCUUCUGACUGAGGAUGGCUGCUGAUACGAACUUCUCUCUUCUUGAAAUUUUACCACCUAUGCCGUGUGUUUUGAGUUGCAUCUGGUGAAUUCAAUCAAUGCUGAGUUGUUCAAGGAGGAACAUGGGGCUUUGCUAGCACGUUUUUCAUCUCCGUUAGUCUGAUAUACCCAUUUUGUUUCAAAGGUCUUUAUCACCUGAUGUACUGUUGUGGCUGUGGAAUCAUUCAGUGACUUGGUUCAAUCCAGGACUUGGUUUCUUCGAAAAUGGUUUACAGUUUUAAUUUGCAGAGAUCCUGGAGGCACCUGAUGUGUUUCAUUGGCGUUGGAGUCACUCGGUGACAGAAGAGAAUGCCUCUAAUGUUAUGUUGUCAGUGUAAAUAAAACAUAUUCAGUAUCA